UUCCUUUUUUUUUUUCUCAUUCAUUUAUAACUUUUCGCUAAUCUUUUUGCUGCUGUUCUCCUGACGUCACGACUGACGUUCCACAUGGUCGAAGCGAUGUUAAUCCAGUCAGCCGGACCUGGACUCAGCGAUUCGCCGGACGACAUCAUGGGCCUGCUGUCCGCCCUGCGGCGACUGAAGCACCCCCAAGACCAGGAGGUCCGCUUGCUGCUGCUGGGUUUGGACAACGCCGGCAAGACCACGCUGCUCAAGCAGCUGGCCGCCGAGGACAUGGGCCACGUCACGCCCACGCAACAGGGCUUCAACAUCAAGAGCGUCCAAUCGUCUGGCUUCAAGUUGAACAUGUGGGACAUCGGGGGGCAGCGGAAGAUUCGCCCCUACUGGAAGAAUUACUUUGAGAACACCCACGUGCUGAUCUACGUGAUUGACUGCUCGGACAAAAAGCGGUUUGAAGAGACGAGUCUGCCUCUUGCCAAAUGUCAUCUCGGACUGACAAAGACUCGGAGCCAUCUUGUCGCGCGGACGUUUGCCCCAACCGCACGGCUUUCGCGCAGGAGCUGGCCGAGCUGCUGGAGGAGGACGACCUGGCGGGCGUGCCGCUGCUGGUCUUCGCCAACAAGCAGGACCUGAGCGCCGCCAUGUCGGCCUCCGAGCUGGCCGAGGGCCUCGACCUGCACACGGUCCGAGAUCGCAUGUGGCAAGUCCAGGCCUGCUCGGCCGUCACCGCGGAGGGACUGCAGGAUGGCAUGAGCUGGGUGUGCAGGAAUAUCCGCUUUUGCAAGAAAUGAAGAUCGGACGGAUCUCGCCAAACCGAUCUUGACCCGUCAGAUCAGGGGUGUCAAACUCAUAUUUGUCCCGUUCCACACUGUACUCGCGGUUUCCCCUCCAAGCGCCCGUUAUGCCUGUGAAACGCUAAAAAAAAAAUUAACCGCCUCAUCAUAUUUACACAUGAAAUAUAUGAACUAGUUUUGGAAUCACAAAUCAAGGGUAAGGGUAAUUUUUUUCCUACUGUUGUUGUUUAGUAACAUGAAAAUGCUAGUAAUUUCUCAACGCCAUAAUUUAUGAUAGGACAAUUUGAAAUUUUGGUACAGAUUUGAACAAAAAAAAAAAAUCAUGGAAGUUGAUACACAUGAUUUUGCCUCUAUGGGCCACGGCGGGCCGGAUCUGGCCCCCGGGCCUCGAGUUUGACACCACCGUGAGAUCAAAAAUAACUGGCAUAUUUUGUCUAUCACUCAAUGUGUUAAACGAAAUUUGUUCACUUUAUAGAAACUUCAGAAUGCGAAAUGAAUGUACUGUAUAUAAUGUAAAUAUGAACGCGGUGUUACUAAAGCAAAAUGAAUGGCAACUGCGUGGUGUAAUGUUCCAAAUUAAACGCCAGAGGGAAACCUUUCACCGUUUCAUGUUAAA